ACUUAUCACUUUCGCUUAGCCACUCAGAUUGCUCCGAACAGCUAGUAUCCAUCGUUUACGGCGUGGACUACCAGGGUAUCUAAUCCUGUUCGCUCCCCACGCUUUCGUCCAUCAGCGUCAAUCACUUAGUAGUAACCUGCCUUCGCAAUUGGUAUUCCAUGUAAUAUCUAAGCAUUUCACCGCUACACUACAUAUUCUAGUUACUUCCUAAGUAUUCAAGUCUUACAGUAUCAAUGGCAGUUCCAUCGUUGAGCGAUGGGAUUUCACCACUGACUUAUAAGACCGCCUACGGACCCUUUAAACCCAAUGAUUCCGGAUAACGCUUGGAUCCUCCGUAUUACCGCGGCUGCUGGCACGGAGUUAGCCGAUCCUUAUUCCUACAGUACCGUCAAUCUCCCACACGUGGGAGGGUUUCUUCCUGUAUAAAAGCAGUUUACAAUCCAUAGGACCGUCUUCCUGCACGCGGCAUGGCUGGUUCAGGCUUGCGCCCAUUGACCAAUAUUCCUCACUGCUGCCUCCCGUA
rnacentral:rRNA from 1 species